rnacentral:rRNA from 1 species
GAUGAACGCUGGCGGCGUGCCUAAUACAUGCAAGUCGAGCGAACAGACGAGGAGCUUGCUCCUCUGACGUUAGCGGCGGACGGGUGAGUAACACGUGGAUAACCUACCUAUAAGACUGGGAUAACUUCGGGAAACCGGAGCUAAUACCGGAUAAUAUAUUGAACCGCAUGGUUCAAUAGUGAAAGACGGUUUUGCUGUCACUUAUAGAUGGAUCCGCGCCGCAUUAGCUAGUUGGUAAGGUAACGGCUUACCAAGGCAACGAUGCGUAGCCGACCUGAGGGUGAUCGGCCACACUGGAACUGAGACACGGUCCAGACUCCUACGGGAGGCAGCAGUAGGGAAUCUUCCGCAAUGGGCGAAAGCCUGACGGAGCAACGCCGCGUGAGUGAUGAAGGUCUUCGGAUCGUAAAACUCUGUCAUUAGGGAAGAACAAAUGUGUAAGUAACUAUGCACGUCUUGACGGUACCUAAUCAGAAAGCCACGGCUAACUACGUG